CCUACGGGAGGCAGCAGUGAGGAAUAUUGGUCAAUGGAGGCAACUCUGAUCCAGCCAUGCCGCGUGCAGGAAGACGGCCCUAUGGGUUGUAAACUGCUUUUAUACAGGAAGAAACGUAGGUACGUGUACCUAUUUGACGGUACUGUAUGAAUAAGGAUCGGCUAACUCCGUGCCAGCAGCCGCGGUAAUACGGAGGAUCCAAGCGUUAUCCGGAAUCAUUGGGUUUAAAGGGUCCGCAGGCGGUUUGUUAAGUCAGAGGUGAAAUCCUACCGCUCAACGGUAGAACGGCCUUUGAUACUGACAGGCUUGAGUUAUUGUGAAGUAGUUAGAAUGUGCAGUGUAGCGGUGAAAUGCAUAGAUAUUACUCAGAACACCGAUUGCGAAGGCAGCUUACUAACAUGUAACUGACGCUGAGGGACGAAAGCGUGGGGAGCGAACAGGAUUAGAUACCCUGGUAGUCCACGCCGUAAACGAUCAUCACUCGCUGUUGGCGAUAUACUGUCAGCGGCCAAGCGAAAGUAUUAAGUGAUGCACCUGGGGAGUACGCCGGCAACGGUGAAACUCAAAGGAAUUGACGGA
rnacentral:rRNA from 1 species